AGUCCCGAGGUGAUGUAUCAUGUUGAAUUGCAAAUUCAAAGGAGCAGCUUUAAAUCCUGCCGGGGCUU
rnacentral:tRNA from 1 species